AUGGACUCCGGCGGCGGGGCCACGGCCAUCCGCGUGCCCUACCGCCACAUCCGCGACGCCGAGAUGGAGCUCGUCAGACUCAACAGCACCAACGGCACCGGCGGCGACGCCGCGCGGCCCAAGGAGGAGCAGGGCAGCGGCGCCUCCGGGGAGGGCGGCAGGAAGGGCGCGCCCAAGUGGCGGGUCGUGCUGGCCUGCAUGGUCGCCGCCGGCGUGCAGUUCGGCUGGGCGCUGCAGCUCUCCCUCCUCACCCCAUACAUCCAGACUCUAGGAAUAGACCAUGCCAUGGCGUCCUUCAUCUGGCUUUGUGGGCCUAUUACUGGUUUUGUGGUUCAACCUUGUGUUGGUGUCUGGAGUGACAAGUGCCGCUCCAAGUACGGGAGGAGGCGGCCGUUCAUUCUGGCUGGAUGCGUGCUAAUUUGUGCAGCUGUAACUUUAGUCGGGUUUUCUGCAGACCUUGGCUACAUGUUAGGAGACACCACUGAGCACUGCAGUACAUACAAAGGUCUAAGAUAUCGAGCUGCUUUCAUUUUCAUUUUUGGAUUCUGGAUGCUGGACCUUGCAAAUAAUACAGUUCAAGGACCUGCUCGUGCCCUCCUAGCUGAUCUUUCAGGUCCUGAUCAAUGUAAUUCGGCAAAUGCAAUAUUCUGCUCAUGGAUGGCUGUCGGAAACGUUCUUGGUUUUUCAGCUGGUGCGAGUGGGAACUGGCACAAGUGGUUUCCUUUUCUGAUGACUAGGGCCUGUUGUGAAGCUUGUGGUAAUUUGAAAGCAGCUUUCUUAAUUGCAGUUGUAUUCCUUCUGUUUUGCAUGGCUGUUACCCUCUACUUUGCUGAAGAGAUUCCGCUGGAACCAAAGGAUGCACAGCAGUUAUCUGACUCGGCUCCUCUACUGAACGGUUCUAGAGAUGAUCAUGAUGCUUCAAGUGAACAGACUAACGGAGGACUUUCUAACGGUCAUGCUGACGCAAACCAUGUCUCAGCUAACUCCCGUGCUGAGGAUUUUACAGAUGCAGGCUCCAACUCGAACAAAGACGAUGUUGAGGCUUUCAAUGAUGGGCCAGGAGCAGUUUUGGUUAAAAUUUUGACUAGCAUGAGGCAUCUACCUCCUGGAAUGUAUUCUGUGCUUCUGGUUAUGGCCCUAACAUGGCUGUCGUGGUUUCCCUUUUUCCUUUUUGACACCGACUGGAUGGGGCGUGAGGUUUAUCACGGUGACCCAAAAGGAAAUGCGAGUGAAAGGAAAGCUUAUGAUGAUGGUGUCCGAGAAGGUGCAUUUGGUUUGCUAUUGAAUUCAGUCGUCCUUGGGAUUGGCUCUUUCCUUAUCGAUCCAUUAUGCCGGAUGAUUGGUGCAAGAUUGGUUUGGGCAAUUAGCAACUUCAUAGUGUUUGCCUGCAUGUUGGCUACAACAAUACUAAGCUGGAUCUCCUAUGACCUGUACUCGAGCAAGCUUCAACAUAUUGUCGGGGCAGAUAAAACAGUCAAGACUGCAGCGCUCAUUCUUUUCUCUCUUCUUGGAUUGCCACUCUCGAUCACUUAUAGCGUUCCGUUCUCCGUGACUGCUGAGCUGACUGCCGGAACAGGAGGCGGACAAGGUUUGGCUACUGGAGUUUUGAAUCUUGCCAUUGUCGCUCCUCAGAUAGUGGUGUCACUCGGAGCCGGCCCAUGGGACAAGCUCUUGGGGGGAGGGAACGUCCCUGCCUUCGCCCUAGCCUCGGUUUUCUCGCUGGUAGCCGGAGUGCUCGCGGUGAUCAAGCUGCCCAAGCUGUCGAACAACUAUCAAUCCGCCGGCUUUCACAUGGGUUGA
rnacentral:rRNA from 1 species